rnacentral:rRNA from 1 species
GACGUAGGGCGCGAGCGUUGUCCGGAUUUAUUGGGCGUAAAGGGCGCGUAGGCGGGAUGGCAAGUCGGUCGUGAAAUCCCUCGGCUCAACUGAGGAUCGUCGAUCGAUACUGCCGUUCUUGAGGAUUGCAGAGGAGACUGGAAUUCCCGGUGUAGCGGUGAAAUGUGUAGAGAUCGGGAGGAACACCGGUGGCGAAGGCGGGUCUCUGGGCAAUUCCUGACGCUGAGGCGCGAAAGCGUGGGUAGCAAACAGG